GGCAUGGGGGCAGCGAUCUCCCCAAGAGGCGACAUGCCGAAGCAUCGCGUCCCGGGCUGACUACGCGGACGCGUCAUG
rnacentral:ncRNA from 1 species